AUUGAACGCUGGCGGCAGGCCUAACACAUGCAAGUCGAACGGUAACAGGAAACAGCUUGCUGUUUCGCUGACGAGUGGCGGACGGGUGAGUAAUGUCUGGGAAACUGCCUGAUGGAGGGGGAUAACUACUGGAAACGGUAGCUAAUACCGCAUAACGUCGCAAGACCAAAGAGGGGGACCCUCGGGCCUCUUGCCAUCGGAUGUGCCCAGAUGGGAUUAGCUUGUUGGUGGGGUAACGGCUCACCAAGGCGACGAUCCCUAGCUGGUCUGAGAGGAUGACCAGCCACACUGGAACUGAGACACGGUCCAGACUCCUACGGGAGGCAGCAGUGGGGAAUAUUGCACAAUGGGCGCAAGCCUGAUGCAGCCAUGCCGCGUGUAUGAAGAAGGCCUUCGGGUUGUAAAGUACUUUCAGCGGGGAGGAAGGGAGUAAAGUUAAUACCUUUGCUCAUUGACGUUACCCGCAGAAGAAGCACCGGCUAACUCCGUGCCAGCAGCCGCGGUAAUACGGAGGGUGCAAGCGUUAAUCGGAAUUACUGGGCGUAAAGCGCACGCAGGCGGUUUGUUAAGUCAGAUGUGAAAUCCCCGGGCUCAACCUGGGAACUGCAUCUGAUACUGGCAAGCUUGAGUCUCGUAGAGGGGGGUAGAAUUCCAGGUGUAGCGGUGAAAUGCGUAGAGAUCUGGAGGAAUACCGGUGGCGAAGGCGGCCCCCUGGACGAAGACUGACGCUCAGGUGCGAAAGCGUGGGGAGCAAACAGGAUUAGAUACCCUGGUAGUCCACGCCGUAAACGAUGUCGACUUGGAGGUUGUGCCCUUGAGGCGUGGCUUCCGGAGCUAACGCGUUAAGUCGACCGCCUGGGGAGUACGGCCGCAAGGUUAAAACUCAAAUGAAUUGACGGGGGCCCGCACAAGCGGUGGAGCAUGUGGUUUAAUUCGAUGCAACGCGAAGAACCUUACCUGGUCUUGACAUCCACGGAAGUUUUCAGAGAUGAGAAUGUGCCUUCGGGAACCGUGAGACAGGUGCUGCAUGGCUGUCGUCAGCUCGUGUUGUGAAAUGUUGGGUUAAGUCCCGCAACGAGCGCAACCCUUAUCCUUUGUUGCCAGCGGUCCGGCCGGGAACUCAAAGGAGACUGCCAGUGAUAAACUGGAGGAAGGUGGGGAUGACGUCAAGUCAUCAUGGCCCUUACGACCAGGGCUACACACGUGCUACAAUGGCGCAUACAAAGAGAAGCGACCUCGCGAGAGCAAGCGGACCUCAUAAAGUGCGUCGUAGUCCGGAUUGGAGUCUGCAACUCGACUCCAUGAAGUCGGAAUCGCUAGUAAUCGUGGAUCAGAAUGCCACGGUGAAUACGUUCCCGGGCAU
rnacentral:rRNA from 1 species